CCUACGGGUGACAGCAGUGGGGAAUAUUGCACAAUGGGGGAAACCCUGAUGCAGCGACGCCGCGUGAGUGAUGAAGUAUUUCGGUACGUAAAGCUCUAUCAGCAGGGAAGAUAAUGACGGUACCUCACUAAUAAGCCCCGGCUAACUACGUGCCAGCAGCCGCGGUAAUACGUAGGGGGCAAGCGUUAUCCGGAUUUACUGGGCGUAAAGGGUGCGUAGGCGGGCUGGUAAGUCUGAAGUGAAAUCCUGUAGCUUAACCAUAGAACUGCUUUGGAAACUAUGCAGCUGGAGUGCAGGAGAGGUAGGCGGAAUUCGUGGUGUAGCGGUGAAAUGCGUAGAUAUUAGGAGGAACACCAGUGGCGAAGGCGACUUACUGGAAUGUAACUGACGUUGAGGCACGAAAGCGUGGGGAGCAAACAGGAUUAGAUACGCGAGUAGUC
rnacentral:rRNA from 1 species